rnacentral:rRNA from 1 species
AUACGUAGGGGGCAAGCGUUAUCCGGAUUUACUGGGUGUAAAGGGAGCGUAGACGGCGAAGCAAGUCUGAAGUGAAAGGACGGGGCCCAACCCCGGAACUGCUUUGGAAACUGUUUGGCUGGAGUGCGGGAGGGGUAAGCGGAAUUCCUAGUGUAGCGGUGAAAUGCGUAGAUAUUAGGAGGAACACCGGUGGCGAAGGCGGCUUACUGGACCGUAACUGACGUUGAGGCUCGAAGGCGUGGGGAGCAAACAGGAUUAGAUACCCUGGUAGUCCACGCGGUAAACGAUGAUCACUAGGUGUCCGUGGGUAUGACCCAUGGGUGCCGCAGCCAACGCAAUAAGUGAUCCACCUGGGGAGUACGGUCGCAAGAAUGAAACUCAAAUGAAUUGACGGGG